rnacentral:rRNA from 2 species
AAGGAUUCCCCUAGUAGCGGCGAGCGAAGCGGGAAGAGCUCAAAUUUAUAAUCUGGCACCUUCGGUGUCCGAGUUGUAAUCUCUAGAAAUGUUUUCCGCGUUGGACCGCACACAAGUCUGUUGGAAUACAGCGGCAUAGUGGUGAGACCCCCGUAUAUGGUGCGGACGCCCAGCGCUUUGUGAUACAUUUUCGAAGAGUCGAGUUGUUUGGGAAUGCAGCUCAAAUUGGGUGGUAAAUUCCAUCUAAAGCUAAAUAUUGGCGAGAGACCGAUAGCGAACAAGUACCGUGAGGGAAAGAUGAAAAGCACUUUGGAAAGAGAGUUAACAGUACGUGAAAUUGUUGGAAGGGAAACGCUUGAAGUCAGACUUGCUUGCCGAGCAAUCGGUUUGCAGGCCAGCAUCAGUUUUCCGGGAUGGAUAAUGGUAGAGAGAAGGUAGCAGUUUCGGCUGUGUUAUAGCUCUCUGCUGGAUACAUCUUGGGGGACUGAGGAACGCAGUGUGCCUUUGGCGGGGGUUUCGACCUCUUCACACUUAGGAUGCUGGUGGAAUGGCUUUAAACGACCCGUCUUGAAACACGGACCUCCUGUGUGAGGGGUCCCCCUAAAAGU